rnacentral:tRNA from 1 species
UGCAUCGGCCGGGAAUCGAACCCGGGCUGCCUGCUUGGCAGACGAGCAUUCUACCACUGAACCACUGAUGC